GUCCAUCCAAACUUGUUUGGGGAAGAUCUAGUGGCGAACGGGUGCAUAACACGUGAGAAACCUGCCUCAGUCUCUGGGAUAACAGUUGGAAACGACUGCUAAUACCGGAUGCCGUCACACCAUCACAUGUUGGAGUGACGAAAGAUUUAUCGGAUUGAGAGGGUCUCGCGGCCUAUCAGCUAGUUGGAGAGGUAACGGCUCACCAAGGCAUCGACGGGUAGCUGGUCUGAGAGGAUGAUCAGCCACACUGGGACUGAGACACGGCCCAGACUCCUACGGGAGGCAGCAGUGGGGAAUCUUGCACAAUGGGCGAAAGCCUGAUGCAGCAACGCCGCGUGCGGGAAGAAGGCCCUAGGG
rnacentral:rRNA from 1 species